rnacentral:lncRNA from 10 species
CCUGCAUUCUAAGAUUUCAUAUUGGUAGGGAUGAUACUGGCUUUUUAUUUGCCAGUUCUACAUAAACAGCUAUCAGAUUAUUAUAAAUUUAACUCUUUGUGCUUCGUAAGAAUGAUAUAAUGGCAUAUCUUCAUUAAUAUUUGGUAGCAACUGGAUUGCCACAAAAACAUGUGAGGACCCUUUUUCUGUUGUAUUGUCAUUCUUUUACACCGGAAAAAUUACUCUGCUGUUUUCUAAGAGUCAAUCCUGGAGUGACGUGAGUAGCAGAAUGCCAAGUCUAUGAGUCACGUGAUAACUACUGGACAUGCACAUGAGAAUAUGACGAGGAUGGUGCCUUAGAAUGGGGAUUCUCAAUCUGAGGUAGGAAGACAUGAUGAGCCACAAAAUUCUUAUUACACAUUAAAAUGAAGAUUAAGAAUUACUGAUAGAAUUCAGAUUUGAAGGGGCAUAUGGUGUAAGUUUAGCCCAACCAAAGUGGAAAUGUUAACAGAAGGACGUGGCAGGCAUCCUACAGAGGCAGCUUAUCAUGAAUGCUGCUCAGCUUACUUUCUCAGAGAAUCCAGAAGUCACUACAAUAGUUGUUACUAACGGCUGGUCAAUGUGCUCCAGGAAAGGCUGCCCACAUUUGUCUUUUUGAUGGCUUCCAGCCAAUCAGCUUACCAAAGAAAAGUUAAACAAAACACAGGUAACAAUGGGAACAAUUACCAUAUAACUAUUCAAGUGUUUAACUAGCCAGUAUUUUAAAAAAUACCUACUACAUCCUCAGCAUAGUCACUGAAGAAAACUAGGGAUCCAAGAAAAUCAUACCAUUUAAAAAUAAUUGGUA